CUGGUCUCAAACUCCUGGCCGCAAGUGAUCCUCCCAUCUCGGCCUAUCAAAGUGCUGGGAUGACAAGAGUAAGCCAUUGCUCCUGGCAUCUUUUUCUGCUUUAUUUUUCCCCCUUAUAACUUCAAUCAUACCUGGCCCAUUGAUCUCCUUUGGGGUCUGUCUGCCCCCAUAGUAGACUACUAUUUCCUCUGCUGACGCCCCACUGCCCAGGCAUAUGGGAUCCAGGGCAGGAGCUCAGUGACCUGUGGCAUGGCAGGCCAUGGAGGACCCACUCUCCCCUGGGCGAUGUGGGAUAGGGACAGGGAGGCAAGGUAUGCCUAUCCAGACCAGCCAGGACCCCCAGCACCAGGAACAGGCUGCUAUGGGGGCCACAGUCCGCCUGCACUCUGAGGAGCAGUGAUCCACACAAUGGCAGCAGAGAAGGCGUAAAACCGCGAGGCCUCUGCACAUGGAUGAGAACGUGUCAGACGCACCCAGAAAGCUAUUCAAUGAAAGGGCUUGUUUCACGGACUCCACUGGCGGGCAUGACAGCAUUGCCCACAUGUUCACUCUCUGCAAAGAAAAAUGGGCCCUUUUGAGGGAUAUAAAUAGCCUGGCCAGAUGUGGGAGUGCCUGAGGGGCUUUUCCCAGGACUCUAGCGUGUGUCCUGCAGCUGCAUAAAUAGCAGCCCCUCAGUGGGACCCCAGGGACUGCCAAAGCAAGUGCAGGUCAGGACAUGAAAGGGUUACGUGGGGACCCUCCUCCCACGGGAAGGCAGGAUGGGGCUCAUCACAAGCCAUCACUGACCUGCAGGCUGAGCAUGCCCGUUGAUGCAUUCAGGGUACAGCUGGGACACGGAAAAUCAGCGGCAAAUCCACUGUGUAAGUCUUACCCACAGAAAACAAGGGAGACAGAAGCCCAGAUAGCGCGGGGCCUUUUGGGGAUGGGUGUGCUCACUGAAAGCACAGGCCAGGGAGCCCUGCAGACGUACAAUCUCAGUGGUGAAACCGGGCUAUUUGGUAAGGCCCAGCAGGCUAUUUUGUAAUUGUCUGCAUAAAUGCAAAAUGAUAGCACUUAAAGCUGGCUAAAAACACUUUCAAAGCCUGAUAUGGUUGUUACAAGUCACUAGCUCCCAACUACAGGGGCGGGGCCUGGACAGGAGAGGAAGUCAAAUCCAAGGGCACCAAAGAACAGUUUAGAUCCUACACCUACCAGGCAAGCCACAGGUAUAAUUUCAGAUGUUCCCAGAAGUCACGCUAAAACACUAAGUUUGUGGCUUUUGCUCGCCCUCUCCUCGAGGAUCGAGGGAGCUCUAACCACAGCCUGCGACUGGGAAGGGAGGCAGAGCAGCGGCUCAGGGGAAACGAGGCUGCAGUGGUGGUGGCAGGAAGAUGUCAGGCGAGGACAAGCAGCAGGAGCAAACUAUCGCCGAGGACCUGGUCAUGACCAGGUAGAAGAUGGGGGGCGACAUCACCAACAGGGCACUUCGGUCCUUGGUGGAAGCAUCUAGCUCAGGUGUGUCAGUGCCUCAGUGAGAAAGGUGGUGCCACCAUUACGCAAGAAACAGGGAAAAUCUUCAAGAAAGAAAAGGAUAUGAAGAACCGGAAGAAACGUAUUGCUUUUCCCACCAGCAUUUCGGUAAAUAACGGUGUAUGUCACUUCUCCCCUUUGAAGAGCGGCCAGGAUUACAUUCUCAAGGAAGGUGACUUGGUAAAAAUUGACCUUGGGGUCCAUGCAGACGGCUUCACCGCUAAUGUAGCUCAUACUUUUGUGGUUGACGUAGCUCAGGGGACCCAAAUAACAGGAAGGAAAGCAGAUGUUAUUAAGGCAGCUCACCAUUGUGCUGAAGGUGCCCUAUGCCUGGUCAAACCUGGAAAUCAGAACACACAAGUGACAGAAACCGGGAACAAAGUUGCCCACUCAUUUAACUGCACGCCAACAGAAGGUACGCCUGUCACACCAGUUGAAGCAGCAUGUCAUCGAUGGAGAAAAAACCAUUACUCAGAAUCCCACAGACCAGCAGAAGAAGGACCGUGAAAAAGCUGAAUUUGAGGUACAUGAAGUAUAUGCUGUGGAUGUUCUCAUCAGCUCAGGAGAGGGAAAGGCCAAGGAUGCAGGACAGAGAACCACUAUUUACAAACGAGACCCCUCCAAACAGUAUGGACUGAAAAUGAAAACCUGACGUGCCUUCUUCGGUGAGAUGGAAAGGCAUUUUGAUGCUACGCCGUUUACUUUCCGAGCAUUUGAAGAUGAGAAGAAGGCUCGGAUGGGUGUGGUGGAGCGCCCCAAGCAUGGACUGCUGCAACCCUUUAAUGUUCUCUAUGAGAAGGAGGGGGAAUUUGCUGCCCAGUUUAAAUUUACAGUUCUGCUCAUGCCCAGUGGCCCCAUGCAGAUAACCAGUGGUCCCUUCCAGCCUGACCCCCAUAAGUCUGAGAUGGAGGUCCAGGAUGCAGAGCUAAAGACCCUCCUCCAGAAUUCUGCAAGUCGAAAAACCCAGAAAAAGAAAAAAAAGAAGGCCUCCAAGACUGCAGAGAAUGCCACCACUGGGGAAACAUUAGAAGAAAACCAAGCUGGGGACCUAGGUGGGUCCCAUCUCCCCAGCUUGCUGCUCCUGCCUCAUCCCCUUCCCACCACACCCCAGACUCUGUGAAGUGCAGUUCUUCUCCACCUAGGACCGCCAGCAGAGCGGGGGUCUCCCUGCCCCCACCCCAGUUCCCCAGCCCACCCCCUUCCAACAACAACCAGCAUCUGACUCUGGUCUUGGGAGGCGAGGCUUCCCAACUACAGAAGACUACUUUAAAUGAAAAAAAGAAAUUAAAUAAUAAAAUCAGGAGUCAAAAUUCAUCGUCUUCAAGCCCCUCUUUCUAGCCUUUUCUACUACUCUGUGCUUGGUCAAAGUUUGUGACCCUACAACAGAACUGGGCUAAAUUAGCCACCACCACCGAAAACUCGGUUGAAUUUUUUUAUACUACUCUGACGUCAGCAUUUUUCCAUCUGUUUGGGGCUUUUUCCUCUCUUUUCCAUUCUCCCCAAGUAUUUUAUCUGGCUUCAAAAUUAGAAGGAUUAUUUUUCAGAUUGUUUUUAUUCAGUGUGGCCGACUCCUCAUCUGAUUCAGGCUGUCCAGUCAGGCCCCUCCCAUUUUAGGAGCUGGAGCCUUCAUUUAUGAAGUGAUUCUCAUCUAUGAAAUGGAUCCUCAUUUGUCAAUCUUUUUUCUUCCAUUUUCACAAAGCUGUAGAGAAAUAAUCCAUCUCCACCUUACCCUUUUCUCUGGAGUGGGUCUCCCCUCGCUCCAUCUUACACAAACCUGAGCUGGAAGCUCAACUGGUUUUGUUCCCUGUUUGAAACACUGUGAUCUCCCUCCCUUGAAA